UACGGGGGGGGCAAGCGUUGUCCGGAAUUAUUGGGCGUAAAGAGCUCGUAGGCGGUUUGUCGCGUCUGCUGUGAAAACCCGAGGCUCAACCUCGGGCCUGCAGUGGGUACGGGCAGACUAGAGUGCGGUAGGGGAGAUUGGAAUUCCCGGUGUAGUGGUGAAAUGCGUAGAUAUCGGGAGGAACACCAGUGGCGAAGGCGGCUUUCUGGUCUGUUCUUGACGCUGAGGCGCGAAAGCUAGGGUAGCAAACGGG
rnacentral:rRNA from 1 species